UACGUAGGGGGCUAGCGUUGUCCGGAAUCAUUGGGCGUAAAGCGCAUGUAGGCGGCCCGGUAAGUCCGCUGUGAAAGUCGGGGGCUCAACCCUCGGAUGCCGGUGGAUACUGUCGGGCUCGAGUACGGAAGAGGCGAGUGGAAUUCCUGGUGUAGCGGUGGAAUGCGCAGAUAUCAGGAGGAACACCAAUAGCGAAGGCAGCUCGCUGGGACGUCACUGACACUGAGGCGCGAAAGCGUGGGGAGCGAACAGG
rnacentral:rRNA from 1 species